UUGCCUUCUUGUGUGCCUCACGGCAGGCGG
rnacentral:sRNA from 1 species